AUUGAACGCUGGCGGCAUGCCUUACACAUGCAAGUCGAACGGCAGCACGGGGGCAACCCUGGUGGCGAGUGGCGAACGGGUGAGUAAUACAUCGGAACGUGUCCUUUCGUGGGGGAUAACCAGUCGAAAGACUGGCUAAUACCGCAUGAGAUCUCACGAUGAAAGCGAGGGACCGCAAGGCCUCGCGCGAUUGGAGCGGCCGAUGUCGGAUUAGCUAGUUGGCGGGGUAAAAGCCCACCAAGGCGACGAUCCGUAGCUGGCUUGAGAGAACGACCAGCCACACGGGGACUGGGACACGGCACAGACUCCUACGGGAGGCAGCAGUGGGGAAUUUUGGACAAUGGCGGCAACCCUGAUCCAGCCAUGCCGCGUGUGUGAAGAAGGCCUUCGGGUUGUAAAGCACUUUCGGACGGAACGAAAUCGCCCGUGUUAACAGCGCGGGUGGAUGACGGUACCGUAAGAAGAAGCACCGGCUAACUACGUGCCAGCAGCCGCAGUAA
rnacentral:rRNA from 1 species